UGUAUGCGCGGCUUAGCUGGCGCCGGGGCUCCCGGGAGAUGUAGGCGCGGCUCCGUCCGGCGGCAGGAGCUGUAAAUCUUGGAUCCUUCAGCUUUUGCUUCUCAAUCCUGGAGCACACACGGCUGGGUGCCGAGGAGCUAUCUGGUGGUUCCUAGGCCGCACUGACAUUGUUCUGCUGGAAGAGAGAUGGGGAAGAGAUACUUCUGUGAUUACUGUGACAGGUCGUUUCAGGACAACCUUCACAACAGGAAGAAACACCUCAAUGGAGUGCAGCAUCUCAGGGCUAAGCGAGUCUGGUAUGACAUGUUCCGAGAUGCUGCUGCUAUCCUGCAAGAAGAGCAGAGCAAGAAACCUUGCCGGAAGUUCCUGCAAACAGGACAAUGUGAUUUUGGGUCCAACUGCAGGUUCUCCCAUAUGACAGAGCAGGACCUGGAGAAGCUGAGUGCCCAGGUGCAAGGGGAGCAGAGAUUGAAGGAGCUGCGGCAAGAAGGAGCAGAUGUCCCGCCUGGCACCAUCGAGGACUGGCUGGAGAAGAGAGCAAAGAGACUGAGUGCAGCUCAGAAUAACAGCACUCUGCCUGAGAAACCUGCACCUUUCCAGUACCCGCCAGGCUGGCCAGCUGUGCAGGACCUGCCACCGUCCUUGCAGGCGCCCCCGCCGGGGGGCUGGCUGCUCCUGCCUGACCUGCAGUGGGGAUGAGGUGCUCCGUUGGCUGCCAUGCUGCACCCAGAUUUCUUGGCCGCGUCCAGAAAUGGAUUAUUUUGGGUUGGCUGGGCUCUCUACUGUCGUGUAGAGUGCACCACCUGUGUCUCCAGGAACAGGAGCCGCUGCUGUCCUGUGGACUACAUCAUCUGUAAUGGGCUCCUGGUCUAGGUCUGGCUGAUGCUAAUCCAGACUGGGAAAGGAAACAGUAAUCAGAGUUUUAAAAUUGAUGUUUAAUAGCUCUACCAGCUUUGGUGAUUUAUUUUUGCCUCUGUUAAAUUUGAUGUGGAGGACUGCUUUGGUUCAGGUGCUGGUGCUGCUAAUGAAGAGCUUGGGGAGCUGCUGUGAGCCCUGUGCUCCUGCUUUUACUAUGCCAAAGGGGAGAAGUGAGGAGGAAAAAUUAUUCCAAGUUUCUCCUUAUCCAGCAAACUAAGGAAAAAAGGUCAGUGCCAAAGGGGCAAAAGGGACUCGUUCCCUGCUGCGGUGGCUGGCUGCCCAGGGCUUGUGUUCUGAGGACUGCUGCUGGUGAACAAAAUACAAGUUGCGAAGGAAAGCUGCAGCCCUUCUGCUUGCAGCAGAACUGCUCCAAUCCAGGAGCCCCCCUGGGGCAGCUGGCCGGUACCAAUGGCUGCCGUCACCUGGGCUCCUUUGCUUUCCGCGCAGGUACCAGCUCGGCGCAUGGUGAAGGGAUUUGCUUCCCACGGGAGGUCCUGGUGUAAGGGAGAGCUUGGCUGCAGGUGCUGAGCUGGCCACCUGGUAUCACUGUGCCCUCCUGAAAUGGGGAGAGAUGAAAGGGGUAGAGAGCUCGCUCUGCCGGCCCUGUGCAUCUCCGUGGCCAGCUGGCCUGCCUCCAGCUUCUCCUCUUUAACGGGCUGUAGGAUCCCAGCUUCUCUGAGGGCCCAUUCCUGGGGCAGGCUGCAAUCUCUGGCUCGGGAGCAAGGUCCCUGCUUCCCCCCUGCUCCUGGCACCCAGCCCUUUUGCAGCUCACCCUGCCUUUGGAUCCCUCCGCAUUGGGCGCAGCUUUUUUCCCAGGAGGCUCUGUAGGAUCUUUCAGUGCGUGUCCAGCCCUCUCUCCUCCUCUGAGGCCACACACACAAGCCCCGGUGUAGCCUACAGGCAUCUUGCCCAGGCGGUCGUUGUCCUGCAGCUGAGACAAAUGGGAGCCCAGCUGCACGGCAGCUACAGUAAGGUUUGUGGAGCAUCUUCCCACCACCUGAAGUGGGAGACCCAGAGAUAGGUAAAAUUAAAACUUCCCCAAGUCGAGCUCCUGCCCUGCAGGGCAGGUUGGGGCCUCCCUUUCUCUUGUUGGCCAUGCAUUGCUGCCAGGCAUGGCACACAGCCUGGCAUGGGCAGGCAGGGUGGGCGCCAGUGCUGAGUGCCUCCAAGGGACUCAGGGUGCUGGGAUCCCCGGCAGCCCUCACACACUGGCCAGCAGCAGUCGCUGGAGCCAAAGUACAUUUUCAGAGUGGCAGCAAUUUGUCAGGAAGCUUUUACGGAAAUGAGCAGCUCCUGGGGCCCUGCCAAGGCUCUGCCCCAUGUCCUCUGGCAGCUCUUGCUGGGAGAGCAGCAGGAAGGGGCAGGGACAGGGUUGGAGACAGGGAGAG